UGGACACAGAACUCCUGGGGAGCUGGAGACCCCUGGGGUUUAUUUUGUGCCUUUGUCCCUGGCACAGGCAGAGGAAGGAUGAGCUGGAGCAGAGGAUGUCAGCGCUGCAGGAGAGCAGGAGAGAGCUGAUGGUGCAGCUGGAGGGGCUGAUGAAGCUGCUCAAAGAGAGCCAGGAGGUCUCUGUGCCCCCUGAGAUGGUGGCUGAAGGUUCAGGUGUCUCCUCUCUGGCCCAGGAUCUCCGUGACAAAUGGGACCAAUUACGGCUCUGCUGGAAGAGUAAAACCUUUCACCUGGGGGAUUUUUGGGUGGUUAAAGCUGAUUUGAAGCAGGCUGGAAGCAAGAUAAAGAAACCCAGGAGCUACAGCAGCGUUAGAGAAAUACCAUGGAUUGAUGGAUUGGGAAUGCUGAGGUUGGACAGGGCUCACUUCCCCGUGUGCCUGGUGGCUCCUGCACUGCCACAUCACGGAUGUACAGCCUGCUGUCAGAAAACCCCAACCAUCAGACACCGGUGGAAUACCACACCGUGCCCCAGGAAGGGGAAAAUCCUGUUCCUGGAACCCAUUUUUCCAUAGUGCUGCACCAAAACAGUCCUACCCAAGAGCCUGGCUCUGUGGAACAUCAGUUCCAGCUGCAGCUUUGGCCUCACGUGCUGCUUUCAGCCUGAAACCUCUUGGGGUGUUUUAUUUAUCAAAGUGAAAUGGAAGUUGUUCCAAAGACCAAAAUCAUUAUGUAAUCCAAACUGGGUUUACAGAGAAGUGCUGGUAUUGUAUUUGUGAUUUAGCUGUGAUUUACUGCUGUCAAUAUCCCUCCAGUUUCACCAGCCUGAAGCAGAUGUGCUUAAAUCCACAAAGAAUUCAAGCAGGGAGCAAUAGAAAAUCUGGGGUUUCCAGCUGCUGGAGGGCCCUGGGGCAGUGGGAGGUGUCCCUGCCCUGGCACAGGGUGGGCUUUGUGCUCCCUUCCCACCCAAACCCUUCCAUCAGUGGAUGAUCCAUCAGACCCCGCUCAGGUGUGGAUAUCAGUUCUCUUGUCUCUGCCCCUUGCUCUGCUGAAUUUCACCAAGGGUGGCUGAGGGAGGUGUUUUAAAAGAGCUCAGGAUUCCUGGGGCUGGAAGAGCAGAGUCAGCAUUGCCCCUCCAGCGUGGGGCUCAUCUGGAAACAUCCCAGGUCUCUUCCAUUCCCCGCAUCAUUGGCAGCCUAAUCCCGCCUUGCUGACGGCAAUAGCGAGUCCAUGGGAGAGCUGAGGGACAGAAUUCCAGGAGAUCUGCAUCCAGGGCAUGGCCUGAGCUGGGUCAGGCUGUGCAUCGGGAUCAGGACCAUGGCACCGCUGCUCUGGCUGGGAAUGGACCUUAAAUCCCACCCAGGGACACCUCCCACUGUCCCAGGGUGAUCCAAACCCAUCCAGCCUGGCCUUGGGCACUGCCAGGGAUCCAGGGGCAGCCCCAGCUGCUCUGGGCACCCUGUGCCAGGGCCUGCCCACCCUGCCAGGGAACAAUGCCUGCCCCAAAUCCCAUCCAGGGAGGCUCAGGCAGGACAGGGCACGAUGGAUUGGUGUGGCUGUACGUGACAGGAGAUCAGGCUCCACGUCCAGAAGGUCCCUCCCAGCCCUGUGCUGCCCUGAACAGCUGGGGGUGACCGAAGGGUUUUGGGGGAACCCCUGGAUUUCAGCCUCCCUGCUGGUGAUCCACGACCCCUCGAAGGUGGGAGGCUCUGGGGGAGGUUCUGCUGUGCUGGCCUUGAGGCCACCCACGUUCCCAGGGGAGCCCAGGGUGGCAGAACCUGACCCCAGCCCCAUCUCCCUCCGGGAUGUCACUGCUGUGGGACGUCCCUGCUCCAGGAAUUGUCCAGGUCCCUCUGCUCCAUUGGAACAUGGAGCUUCUUCCUAGGGACAGAAAAAGGGAUCUCACACACACAACAAUCCAAGAGCCAGCAGGAUUCAGAUAAGCAAUUUAGACAAGUAAACAUCUCAUCAUGCCUCAAAAUAAAUGUGGGAAAUUCGGGUUUUGUAUAAAAACU
rnacentral:lncRNA from 1 species